GUUAUGACUCUUCCUUUUGCUGUAGACAACUCUGGUACUUUAAUGCUGCUUUGCACUUUUUAUAAUGAAAAGGUUUUGUGGUAACUCUGUUGUGAGCUUGAUUUUCUGUAGUCCAUUCUACCAGCACCAGAUGUGUUCAGAAGUGAGCAUUCAGGCAGAAGCUGCACUACACCUCAUGAACUGCAAAGCAGCUAAGGCACCUGGAGCUUCGAGAUCCAGUGUGUGCAAGUGAAAAGCCUUCUUGGAUAAUUAAGACUGUGCCUGACAUCACAGUUAAAGUUUGCUGAUUUAAAGGUUAUAAAGGAAACUCAGGUCUAAGGGACAGAGCCAUCCCCAGAGGACAGCUCAUGGCACAUCUGUCUGUUCCCUGCUCUCGAGUCACCUUUUGCGGAAGCCAACUGCUCUCCAUUGACUGCCCAGGAAGUCUAAAAGUAGGAGCCUUUAAAGCCAAAUCACCUCAAUGCUCUCACAGGGUCAUCAGUUCUCCUGCCUCCAGGACCUGCCAACUGCUCCUCUACAGAUAACAAUGCCAUCUCUAGUGUGCCACUUCACUCGAAGCAGCGUGAAAGAUGCUUCUUCGUCUCUUAAGAGAAGGCUCUUCAGUUUUUGCCACUCAACACCAUUUUCUUUAGAUCAGGAGAACUGAUGUCCUCACCCAGAUGCAGCAUCAGCCACACACCUAUCAGAACAUCUCCCAGCAUAGCUGGAAAAACCAGCCAUGCUGGCUGUGCUUACUGCUACUACCACUCCCCACCAGCUCCGAGCUACACCAGGGCACCACAAUCAGGCUUGGAUAAGGUAAUUAC